ACGGGAGGCAGCAGUGGGGAAUAUUGGACAAUGGGGGAAACCCUGAUCCAGCGACGCCGCGUGAGUGAAGAAGUAUUUCGGUAUGUAAAGCUCUAUCAGCAAGGAAGAAAAUGACGGUACUUGACUAAGAAGCCCCGGCUAACUACGUGCCAGCAGCCGCGGUAAUACGUAGGGGGCAAGCGUUAUCCGGAUUUACUGGGUGUAAAGGGAGCGUAGACGGCAUAGCAAGUCUGAAGUGAAAUGCAUGGGCUCAACCCAUGAACUGCUUUGGAAACUGUUAAGCUAGAGUGCAGGAGAGGUAAGUGGAAUUCCUAGUGUAGCGGUGAAAUGCGUAGAUAUUAGGAGGAACACCAGUGGCGAAGGCGGCUUACCGGACUGUAACUGACGUUGAGGCUCGAAAGCGUGGGGAGCAAACAGGAUUAGAUACCCUGGUA
rnacentral:rRNA from 1 species